UUCGAUCUGCUCUCUGUCACUACAGAGACGCCAAAUCAUCUUGGAUUUGCUUCAACGUAAACACGUGAAAGCCAAAUCAGCUAUGUCUUCGAUAUGCUCCCUGCUUGAUACAGAGAUGCCAAAUCAUCUUGGAUCUGCUUCAACGUAAACACGUGAAAGCCAAAUCAGCUAUGUCUUCGAUCUGCUCCCCGCCUGAUAAAGAAAUGCCAAAUCAUCUUGGAUAUAUUCAGCUUGUUGC
rnacentral:lncRNA from 1 species